GUCCCAGGAUGGACUUGUGACUUUAUACCGUCUACCGCUAUGUUAUGUUAUGUUAUGUAAGGGAAUGAAAGGACUUGGUUUUCUUUUAUAAGGCUUUGUACGCACACAUUGAUAUGGAUAUUUCAACUUUGUUUCUUUUGUCACUCACGAUGUACCAGUAAAGUGAGAACGCUAAAAACACCAUACUGUGGAACCAGCACGUUGCAGUCAUCAUAUUUCAAGUCAUCAUCGUCAAGCUUUGGAACCACAUUAUUCUCGCUGCUCCUCCGAAUAGCCUUUCAAGUUUAUCGCUGUUCAAAAAGUUAAUAAAGGACUUAUUUAAAUUGGACGUGGACUCUUGUACGUGGAUGCUAUUGUCAUAGGUAAUCAAGUAAACUUUGAUAUAGAGCGUUCAAAUAAAGGCGAG
rnacentral:lncRNA from 1 species